AUGGCGGCGUCCAAGGAGCAGGCGUGCGACUGGGCUCGCUGAAGAAAAUAAGUCUUACGCUAGUUAAUGUAAGUUCGAGUCUAAGUGUGAAAGUUUGAGUAUUGUUGUUUGCUUUCGGAAGAAGUACGGUAGUUGUCAGUGUUCGGGAGAACCAACGUGAAGACAUUGAAGACCGUAUUCAGCCGUAGGCUACGGAAGCAGUACUCGUCGUUAGUGUGUGAGACGGAUUGAGCUCACUAGGUAGUUUGCAGUCUCAGACAAUAGACUUCUGUAGAUCGACGCCUUUACUUCGACAGCGGAGCAAGAUAAUCUACUCCAGCAGCUGCCUGUCCCUUGACCGCUUCUCUCUCUCUCUCUCUCUCCCUCUCUCCCUCCAGCCACGGUGGUGCCCGGUGUGUGUGAGUACCCUGCCACCAGUCGUUUUGAAGAGUCGUUUGGUACAGAGACUGAUUCUCUCUCAUGAAGACGAACAUGAAAAACAAAACUGGAUCAGAACAAAAUAUUCUUAUGAUACUUGGGGCUGAAAUCAUUCAUCCACUGUCCAGAAAAAGCAGUUGUAUCGCUGUCUUCCUGUGAUGUGCAGAAAACGAUGCAAACAUUUCUGAGGACUGUUCUUUUUCCAAGGAAGAGCAAGGCUGCAAGUGUUUUUACUGGAACAAAAGGAGGCAGUGUGGACAUCUUCUGAGAAUACCCUGAUGAAUAUAAAUAUACACCCAUGCACUUUUGUCAUCAUCCAUGCACUUCUUCUGAUGUAUUAAUUCAAUCUAAGCAGGGUGAUGAGGUCGUCUGUAAGGGAAGAUACAGUAAACACUGCCUCUGCAUGUAGCUUCUCUGUCACCAUCAGACACUGCUUGUUAAUUGCCUACUUAAUGAUCAAAGUGGUUUCUCAAAUUAAUAAAUUAUUAAAAAUUAAAAUGGUUAACCUUACUGUGUUGAUCUUGACUGUAAACCCUUGUUCACUUAAUGUCAACUGCUUCCACUGUUUCCUAAAUUUGUGAAUAAAUGUUUUCGGAUUGAAUCUUCAGAAAAUGAUAGAACUGUGAGAAGCUCCAUGGUGAAAUGAUUUGUUUACUUAAAAAAAAACAGACGUGGUGUUAUCUAAGGGCUAAACAUUAUGUUUGUGUCUGAUACAUUAAAGCAUGGCGGCACGGUGGUGUAGUGGUUAGCGCUGUCGCCUCACAGCAAGAAGGUCCUGGGUUCGAGCCCCGGGGCUG